CGCAAACGGCUAUAAAGUUUUCGUUCAGAUGUGUUCAACUCGGGUGGGCGCGCGAUUCUGCGCAUUCUGCUCCAAACUCUGGCCAAUUUCGGGCGAAAGAAACGAAGACGCACAUUACGAAUAAAGCACUGAGCCCAUACAGUUGUUUCUCGGCAGCUUAGGUGAAGUGUAGAGGUUGCCGCCACUCCAUGCUGCGACUGGAAACUUGGCUGUUCAGGAAGAGCCCAAUGUAAGCGACGCAGCGUGACUCUGUAUGGCCCAGUCUCUUAUAAAGUAAACGAAUAUAAGAAAAGCACACCCGGCAGUGUCGGCGAAUAAAACGGAAGCAAGCUAUCGGGGAGAGGCUGGACUGGCUGAGCUUGAUGUCUUCCUCCUGUCCGCCCGGGAAAUGCCAUGUAGUGAAGAAGAUGGAGCAGUGCCCAAGAGGAGCGAGGCCAUGAACGCACAUUAAAGGAAAUGACGUUCAUCGGUAUAUCACA